rnacentral:rRNA from 1 species
AGUGAACGCUGGCGGCAGGCCUAACACAUGCAAGUCGAGCGGCAGCGCGGGGGCAACCCUGGCGGCGAGCGGCGGACGGGUGAGGAAUUCGUCGGAAUCUGCCUUUUUGUGGGGGAUAACGUAGGGAAACUUACGCUAAUACCGCAUACGUCCUACGGGAGAAAGUGGGGGACCGCAAGGCCUCACGCAGAAAGAUGAGCCGACGACCGAUUAGCUAGUUGGUGGGGUAAAGGCCCACCAAGGCGACGAUCGGUAGCUGGUCUGAGAGGAUGAUCAGCCACACUGGGACUGAGACAUGGCCCAGACUCCUACGGGAGGCAGCAGUGGGGAAUAUUGGACAAUGGGCGCAAGCCUGAUCCAGCCAUGCCGCGUGUGUGAAGAAGGCCUUCGGGUUGUAAAGCACUUUUGUCCGGAAAGAAAUCCCUGGAGCUAAUACCUUCGGGGGAUGACGGUACCGGAAGAAUAAGCACCGGCUAACUUCGUG